rnacentral:rRNA from 1 species
UACGAAGGGGGCUAGCGUUGCUCGGAAUUACUGGGCGUAAAGCGCACGUAGGCGGCUUUCUAAGUCGGGGGUGAAAUCCUGGAGCUCAACUCCAGGACUGCCUUUGAUACUGAGGAGCUUGAGUCCGGGAGAGGUGAGUGGAACUGCGAGUGUAGAGGUGAAAUUCGUAGAUAUUCGCAAGAACACCAGUGGCGAAGGCGGCUCACUGGCCCGGUACUGACGCUGAGGUGCGAAAGCGUGGGGAGCAAACAGG